UACUGUGGACAGUCAUCAUUUGCUAACUUUAUAUGAUUUUAUAGUGUUUUUUGUGAUUGUAUUAUCGUCCAAGCUAAAAAAAAACAAAAAUAGAACAAAUAAAUAAGAUUUUCAAAGUCUACAUGUGCUGUGUUGACUCUUUGUUAAUGACUCCAAAACCAAUUGUUGUUGGUUUAUAAAUAAACAGAUAUGCAUUAUAUAUCUUUUAAUCCUAAAAAUGAAUUUGAACAAUGGUUUGCGGUCAGUGUGGGCUUGGAGAAUGGUAGGUGUUUAGUCUUGGAGAGCAGUGGUCUGUGGGUAGAAGCUGAGCAUGUACGGUAUCUCUUUGGUUUCACAUUCCUCUACUUCCUUUGAAAAUACUGUGUUUUGGGUGUAGAUUGUCUUUGACAAUGUCAUGGGCCCUCCUCAUCGUCCUGGUUGUGUAGCUGUUCUUUCCUGAGCAGAAAGAUUUCUCUGCCACACAGUGAAUGAACUUGUAAACAGUUUUCACAGUUUUUCUGUGGUAGGUGGAGAGUUAAGUUGGACAAAUACCAGGUAGAAAAAGGCCUGAGUGACGGACAGGUGGAAAGUGUUUGUAAAUACAUCAGCUCCAGUGGGCUAAUCCUUGAGUGUAUGACCGGGGAUGAUGAAAUGUGUGGGCCAACAUGUGGGUACAUUUUAAACCCCAGUGUAGCAUUAAUGCAGGCACACUCCUUCUAUGGAGCUGCUUCUUGGUUUAGUUGCUUUUUCUUCUGUAAAGCACAUAAGAAUAAAAGCUGUUGAGGAAUGCUGUGAGAACAGGCUCAAAUAUGUGGGCUAUUGUGAUGUGUGGGCAGGAGUUGCUCCAACCCUCUGCAGUAUAGGAACAGGGAGGUCAUGUACGUGGGAUGUAAAAGCUUGCUGGCUUAAAUAAUUCAGCAACAAUUUUAUCGAUCUAUUGCUUAAAUACAUAUUGUGAUUUGUACAUAACUUAAGCUUGUGGUUCAAAAGCAAACAGCAUUACGAUCAUGUUGGGUUCUUACAGUAGAUUGUGCUACUUCAUCAUAUAAAGUUUCAUCCAGGUGAAAGGAGGAAAAACAUUUAUCCAAAACAACCUCCACUCAAUUUACAAUAAAUAUAAGAUUGAUAAUUUAACUCAGCUUAAGGGUAUGAAUUGAAAUGCAAUGCGACUCUAGAUUCACCUUUACCAAUACUGACGUGGUGGGAGUCCACAGAUUCUUCCAUACCAAUAACAUAACCUACAAUCAAAAUUGGGGUUUCAGUGGGGAAAUAUAGAUGCAUACAUAUGAUGCAUCGUGAAUUGAUUUAAAAUCGAAACAAAUGUGUGCUAAUACAACAAAAGCAAUAGGCACGAAUUAAGCAACAGUUACACAUACACAAUCAAUGUAAAUGAGACGACACCAAUGAAGGAGGAUUAAGUGAAAAAGCAUUUUAGGCAACGGUUGGAAAAGUUGAGCUUUCCAGGCGGCACCGGACCGCAACAUCCAAUCAGCGACGAGGUUAUUCCGACGUCAACUUCCUGAAGUUAGCGGAUAAGUUUGUCAACAAUGGCGGACAAGCUCACGAGCGCCGAGUGUAGACAACAAAACAACUGACGUUUUGUCGGGACCGGAACCUAAGGUACCGCUGGGACCGGCUGUCUCCCAGACGCAGCUCCUAGAGACGGUUCAAACAGUGACCCCCAGCGGGCAAUGAUGUGAGUGCGGGAUAGGUGCACUACUGAGCCGAAAUAGCUCAGUUGGGAGAGCGUCAGACUGAAGAUCUGAAGGUCCCUGGUUCAAUCCCGGGUUUCGGCAACUUUUUUUGUACUCCCUGAGCUGGAGUGGAGAGCAGUGUUACUAAGAAGGAUUUUUAAUAAAGACUUGCCUUAAACCUAA